CACCCCCUUCAGCCCUUCCGGCUACAGCGUUCAGUCUCUUUUCCUGACCCGGAACUCCAGGCGGCAAUUUCCCUGAUCUUUGUUCCCUGAGGUCUUCUGACAUUCAUGAGAUAAAGCGCCUCACACCAGUGACUCUUCUCAUCGCUAGAACAAAAUAUUUGACCAGAAGCAUCUUAACGAAAGACAGGAUGAACAUCUGUGCCUUCCCGACGUCCAGCUGAACUCUGUUCUUUUUGCCGAGAGUGUUAUAAGAAAGUAUGUGCCAGCUGGACUGGGGGCUAUCCCAAAAGCUGUUGCCUGUACACAGAAUAUGCUCUUCUAGCUGCACUGCCUCUUCUGACCUUAGUGGGAGAGUAUGUGCCUAGCCUCACAGAUAUUCGAUGUGCUAUGGUGGGGGAUAUUCCCAGGGGAAAACCCCGAAUUCUCAGAGGAGAAAGGGAGGGGAAAGGGAAAGGGAGGAAGAAUUGUGGGAAGGGGUGACUGGGAUGGGGGCAGUGAGUGGGAUGUAAAGUGAGUAAGUAAAAAAAUUAAUAAUAAAUAAAUAGAUAAAUAAACUCAACAACAACAGAGCUGAAAAUUUAUGGGUGAACAGUAUAAAUUUUAAAUAAACACGUUUUUCAAUAAAGAAAAAUACAUUCCAAAAUUCCCCUUUCUAUUUUUAAUUUCCUCUCUCCUUGCAUUCAUGUUGUGCAUAUGACCUCAUGUAUGUGAAGAUCUUCAAGGCCUUCUCUCCCUGUGUUCACAUGGUCAUGUGCAUGUGAUAUCAUGUGUGUGAAGGCCAGGGACAGUCUCGUACUGAGCCCUCUUCUGUCUUCAUGCAUGCAGAUGUCUUCCCGUUUGCCAUGGAGUAUGCCCAUCAGACUAGCUGGCCCCCAAGCUUCCAGGGACUCUUUUGUCUCCCAUUCCCAUUUCCCUGAAGGAGUACGGCAUUACAGAUGCACAAACUGAACCCAGCCUGACAUGCAUGAGUCCUGAGAAUCCAAACUCAGGUCCUCAUCUCUAUGUGAGUAGCACUUUACCAGCUGAGCCUUCUGGCACGCCGUACUUUCUUUUGCAAGUCUUUCAACUGUAGCUACCUUUGUUUUUGCUUUUUGUACCAUCCCAAGCAAUCCUGGAAGGAGUAACUGCAUUCAGUUUAUGACAACAUUGAUUGUUAUGUUCUUCUGUGGUGGACCAUGACACAAACCAGAGUGAUCUUCUGAGCAAAAGUUUAUAAAAUGUGAAAUUUACAGGGUAUGAUGAUGGCACCCCACAGGUCUCAGAAACAAGGAGUCUCUCUGGCUUAAUGAGACCAUUUAAUAGAUUCAAAACCGUGGCAUCCCACUUAAAAAAAAAAAUUCUUCCUGCCUUUCCUACUUCCUAUUAUAAGUUGUUAUCACAAAUGUUUAAUUUUAAAUUUAGGCACAAUAAAUAUUAUACUGAAGAAAUGUAUUCCAUUUAAUAAUUACACAGAACAAAUUCAUUUACUAAGGAAUUAGAAGGGAUUUUGUUGGUUAUUAAAUUAGUGACACGAUGAAGAAUGGGAGGCCACAUUAACUAGAAGUUAUAAAAUAGAAAACCACAUUAUAAUUUUGAUAAUAAAAACAAAAUUAAAAGGAGCUGAAGGGACUUAUUAAUUAUAAAAUGUCGGAACUAUCCCAAGCACCGUAAACGCUCUUUCAGUUGGGGUGUUCCUGGGACUCUUGGGGGGUUACAUGGAACUCUUCGAGCUCCUUAGCUUUCCGAAUAUCAGCGUCCCGUUUGAGUUGCUGGGGGGUGGAAUUAUGGGAAUGUUGCACAGAGGAGUGAGAGGUAGACAAAGCUAUCUAUGCAGCUGCACAGCCAGACCGUGAAGGACACAGGAAGUUACGGUGUAGGAGACAGGAAGUUACCGUGCAGGAGACAGGAAGUUAUCCCAGGACACAGCAGCUCUGGAGGCUCGACAGAACUCUGCAGCAGGAUCAGUUCGCCCCUGUGUGUAGCUUCCUGAACUGUGGUCCUGAGGUUGGUGGCUCUGAUUUUUGCUUCAGUUUCUGCUGUGGCCACUCCUCCUGCCUUCCCCCUACCUGCUUCUCCUAAGGUUUCUAAAAACUAAUAUCACUAUUAUUAUGAUCUAAUUAUUAUUAGGGGAGAGCACGUGUGUACCUUGGCACACGUGGAGGUCAGAAGAUAGUUUUCAGGAGUCGGUUCUUUUAACCGGGGAUCCGGGAUGGAAGUUAAGUUGCCAGGCUUACAAGGCAAUCACUGUCACCCACUUAGCCAUCUCUGAGGCUUUCUCCUGGUUUCUUUACUGAUGUGCCUCCAGUUUCUGUCACUGUGUGGCUUCUGUCUACCGAAAGCCUCUCUUGAACAUCUGUUUGCUUCUCAUGAAAUUUGUGAGCAUCUGUCUUCUAUCAGUUUCUUUAGAUGUAACCCUUGAGUUUGAAGGGACUUUAUUUAGGAGAUUUAUGAAGAAAAUGUUCUCAGUCUCAGAAAGACAGUGCCAAGAUCAAAGUCAUGACGCAGUCUCAUCACAGACGCUCAGAACCCUUUAGCUCAUUCUCUUGGAUGCAGAAACUGGACACAGGAGCUGGGACAGUCCUCCUCAUACAGUCAGUCAUUGGUUAAGUGACUGUGCAUGCAGUAACUUCCGGGUCCUUCCAGUACUCCAAUUGCUUGCAGGAAAAGGUCUAGGGAAGGAAAUGCUCAAACGGCAGAUAGAGACACCCAAGGAUUUUGGAAUCAGGUGAUGGGUGUAGUGGGUCAGCACACCCUUCAGAGUCAGGUAUCGUGUACACUGCAGCUGUCUAGGACAGGUCUGAGGCAGUCACAAAGUUCUGUAUAAGAUGCUUCCAAAUGGCUGGCCAGAUUACCACCCCCCCCCCAACCAAAAAAAAAAAAAAAAAAAAAAAAAAAACCAUGAAAGCAAAAUACCCAAAGCCCCUUGGAAUAGGUAAGUAUAUAUUCAAGGGCCGAAUUUGGUAGCUUCUGUGCUGCUUGGGCUUCAUGAGCAGCAGUCAAGGAGGAAGAGGGGUAGGAGGGGAGAAAGAGGAGGAGCAGAAGGAGG
rnacentral:sRNA from 1 species